UACGAAGGUGUCUAGCGUUGUUCGGAAUCACUGGGCGUAAAGCGCACGUAGGCGGACUUUCAAGUCAGGGGUGAAAUCCCGGGGCUCAACCUCGGAACUGCCUUUGAUACUGUUGGUCUCGAGUCCGAUAGAGGUGGGUGGAAUUCCUAGUGUAGAGGUGAAAUUCGUAGAUAUUAGGAAGAACACUGGUGGCGAAGGCGGCCCACUGGAUCGGUACUGACGCUGAGGUGCGAAAGCGUGGGGAGCAAACAGG
rnacentral:rRNA from 1 species